rnacentral:lncRNA from 1 species
GUUGUUUCAUAAAAAAAGGUGCAGCUCCUAACACAAACCCCAUUUUAUUUUUUUCAAAUUACAAUUUUACUAGCACUCAACCCCCACGUAAUGGAAAUUUAAUUGAUACUAGUAAUAAUAAUAAUUUUUUAUGCUAUGAAUGUUAGUAAAUCUAAAAAUCAAAAAAACUAUAAGAUAAAUUUAACGAAUACAUUCUCUAAACAUCAGAAAUAAAAUACAAAUUAUUUGA